UCCCAGCAGUCCGAGUCGUGGCCACAUUUAUUAGGUCUAAAACAUUCGUAGCCUGCUUUGUAAGUUCUUUGUGAAAUUGUUAUGCUUAACAUAACAGCGUGCAAGGGAGACUGCAGAGCUAGGGACUAGGAGACGUAACGAGUACAGUUGAGGUAGCGGUUAAAUGUUUUAAUCUCAGCUGGACUAACAAUGGCGAAGGCACGUUACGAGAAUAGGUCUGACGGUGAGGGAUGAAGGCCAGGGGCGCAAAAUGGAUUAGAUACCCGAGUA
rnacentral:rRNA from 1 species